rnacentral:misc_RNA from 1 species
CCUUCUGUGUUGGGCACUCCCCUCGUACAGUAUGGAUCAGUACAACAGCAGUUGGAAGGAGAGAGGGUUCAACUGAAGUACUAGCUGCUAAUAAUAGCCAGAAAGAGGGUUGCCACAUCUGCUUGCGCGCUUCGUGGCUACUGAGCUGUACACAGAGCUCAUACUGAAAUUGUACAGACCACAUUAGCGCUUAUUCGACAACUGACAGCAGGCUUGACUCCUUCACCAUUCGGUUGCAACCACAACAAUCAUCGAGAACUGACAGUUAUAGAAUCUAACCAUGUUAUCAAGAGAGGAUCCACCUUUGGCAAGCUACAAAGAAAAAAUAAGAGCUCUUCUUCAACAAUUCAUCAUGGAACAAAGGCUGGAGUCAGAGGGGGAUCUAUUCCAGUCCUACUCCAAUCUCCUAGAUUUGUCAACAGCCCACUCAGAGUUCACGAGGAGCGUCUCAGGGUAUGAAGGCGUCUUGACCGAUAGUCAAAUUCAUAAAAUCAGAAUGUCCUGCUACCAGGGCGCCAACAUAUUCUACUCAGCAUCAUGUCAAACGGCCACAUCAAUACAUGACGAUUCAUAAUGUUGAGCAAUCCAAAAGCUUUAGCCAAAGAAGAACUGUAGUUUGUAUAAUCUAUUUAUUGAAUACUGAAAUGUACCAGUGUUUAUAGGAGAUAUGAACAAAUUAUUUUAUAUUCACUACAUAAUAUAAUAUAAUAUAAUAUAAUAUAAUAUAAUAUAAUAUAAUACAAUAUGUUCAAACGAAAAAUGUACAUGAAACUAGUGAAGUCACUCAACGAUUUCCAGUGUUGAUUGUUAUUUGUUCGAAUUUGAAAUUUCAAUGCAGAGUUUAUCUUGAAAUAUGCCUUAACAUUUUUCAUAUGAUGGAGUGGAAAAGUUAAAUAUGAAUAUUAAAUAAAGUACUGGACAGAAUUUAUUUAAGAGAUCAUUCAAAUUUAAGCUGAUAAUAUCAAGUUGAGUUACUGUAAUAAAAGUAUUGUGAUCUUUUUAUAGUCCAUGAAAAACAGAAAUUGAAUUUUUUGUAUGACUACUUGGUAGAAUUUGUUUUUGAGUGAUAGUAAGAUUACAUUAAGCCUAUUAUCAAAUCCAAUAAUCAGUUUACUAAUAAAUCAAUAAUUUUUUCUAUUAACCGUUUAUGGAUAUUAUAUUUGUGGAAGAUGGUUUGAAAUCUUGAGUGAGUUCAUAAAAAAUUUCAUAGCUUCAUUGAGGCUCCUCAUGCAAUCAAAAGAGGCCGUAAUGGACAUAAACAUUCUAGUCAAUUAUUUUUAUAAUUAAUUAUAUAUGCAAUAACACUUUCUCUACAUAAUAAAUAGAAUAUUCUUGUGCAAUAUCCUCAAACAAGAUUAUAGUGUUUUAAAGAGAUUAAGUGAACUUCAGGGUCAAUAGUUAACAGUUCAUUUAUUUAUUUAGGAGGCUGCUCUGAUUGAUCCUGGAUUCUUGUAACUUAGAAGAGGUUAAUUUAUUUUUUCAGAAUAUCAAUGUUCAAUUUUGUAAAAAGUAUUAGCAUUAUUGAGUGUGAGAGUGAAUAAUUUUAUAAUAAUUAGAUUUAUGUGAAAUUUCUGGACUUUCUAAUCUUUUAAUGAGUACAAAAUCAAUAAUACCAAAGAAAGGCAACGAAUUCUCACAUGAAUGAUCUCAGACUCUCAAUAUUGAAUAAACUUCUUUGUUGAACUAUUUAAUUUUUCAUGUAUUCUUGAACCAUUUGCAAAAGUGAUACAUUUAUACACAUUAUGUUUUUAGCUUUUUCAUGAUAGAGGUGAAAUAAAUUUAGUUUGUAGUAAACAUUUCA